rnacentral:tRNA from 1 species
GCCCAGGUGGUGAAAUUGGUAGACACGCUAGACUUAGGAUCUAGUGCUUAUGGCGUGGAGGUUCAAGUCCUCUCCUGGGCACCA